CGUAGGUGGCAAGCGUUGUCCGGAUUUAUUAGGUUUAAAGGGUGCGUAGGCGGUUCCAUAAGUCAGUGGUGAAAUACGGCAGCUCAACUGUCGAGGUGCCAUUGAUACUGCGGAACUUGAGUACUGAUGAGGUAGGCGGAAUUGACGGUGUAGCGGUGAAAUGCUUAGAUAUCGUCAAGAACACCGAUAGCGAAGGCAGCUUACCAAGCAGUAACUGACGCUGAGGCACGAAAGUGCGGGGAUCAAACAGGAUUAGAUACCCUGGUAGUCCGCACAGUAAACGAUGAUUACUCGAUGUUGGCGAUACACAGCCAGCGUCUUAGCGAAAGCGAUAAGUAAUCCACCUGGGGAGUACGCCCGCAAGGGUG
rnacentral:rRNA from 1 species